rnacentral:misc_RNA from 1 species
GCAAACUUGGUCAUUUAGAGGAAGUAAAAGUCAUAACAAGGUCUCCAUAGGUGAACCUGUGGAAGGAUCAUUCAUGAAGCAGGCGCUCUGUCGCCCUUCUCUACCCCUCAACCAUGUGGUCUUCUGCCAUUGCCUCGGGUGGGUUGAAGCGGCCUCGGAUGUUGGGGCCCCUCGCUGGGCCUCGUCCCCCCAUGUGCCCUUGAUAAAGUCUUGGAGUGAUGUUUGUGUCUGAUCAGUCCUGUGGACAUAAUAAAAAUAAAACUUUCAACAACGGAUCUCUUGGCUCUCGCAUCGAUGAAGAACGCAGC